rnacentral:rRNA from 1 species
CUACGGGCCGCUGCAGUGAGGAAUAUUGCACAAUGGGGGGAACCCUGAUGCAGCAACGCCGCGUGGAGGAUGACGCAUUUCGGUGUGUAAACUCCUUUUAUAUGUCAAGAAAAUGACGGUAGCAUAUGAAUAAGCACCGGCUAACUCCGUGCCAGCAGCCGCGGUAAUACGGAGGGUGCAAGCGUUACUCGGAAUCACUGGGCGUAAAGGACGCGUAGGCGGGUUGGAAAGUCAGGUGUGAAAUCCUGCGGCUUAACUGUAGAACUGCACUUGAAACUUCUAAUCUAGAGUAUGGGAGGGGGAGAUGGAAUUAGUGGUGUAGGGGUAAAGUCCGUAGAUAUCACUAGGAAUACCUAAAGCGAAGGCGAUCUCCUGGAACAUUACUGACGCUAAGGCGUGAAAGCGUGGGGAGCAAACAGGAUUAGAUACCCGGGUAGUC